rnacentral:rRNA from 1 species
UGGGGGGCUGCGGAAGGAU